rnacentral:rRNA from 1 species
ACGGAAGGCAGCAGUGGGGAAUAUUGGGCAAUGGGCGAAAGCCUGACCCAGCAACGCCGCGUGAAGGAAGAAGGUCUUCGGAUUGUAAACUUCUUUUAUCAGGGACGAAGGAAGUGACGGUACCUGAUGAAUAAGCCACGGCUAACUACGUGCCAGCAGCCGCGGUAAUACGUAGGUGGCAAGCGUUAUCCGGAUUUACUGGGUGUAAAGGGCGCGUAGGCGGGGAAGCAAGUCAGAUGUGAAAUCUAUGGGCUUAACUCAUAAACUGCAUUUGAAACUGUUUCUCUUGAGUGCUGGAGAGGUAGAUGGAAUUCCUAGUGUAGCGGUGAAAUGCGUAGAUAUUAGGAAGAACACCAGUGGCGAAGGCGAUCUACUGGACAGUAACUGACGCUGAGGCGCGAAAGCGUGGGGAGCAAACAGGAUUAGAUACCCUGGUA